UCUCCUGUAGCUCAGUGGUAGAGCGUCCGACCGGUGUGCGGAAGGUCAUAGGAGUUGACUCGUGUUGGUGGAA